GCAUUGGUAGCUCAGUGGUAGAAUUCUCACCUUCUAUGCGAGAGACCCGGGUUUGAUUCCCGGCCAAUGCA